AGAAGAAGAAGAAGAAGAAGAAGAAGAAGAAGAAGAAGAAGAAGAAGAAGAAGAAGAAGAAGAAGAAGAAAGAAGAAGUAUUAGGAGGAGGAGAAGGAAGAGGAGGGAGAGGAAAGGGAGACAUAAUCGUAGUAAUUGUAGUAGCAGUAGAAGAGAAAGAAGGAGAAUUAGUAGAAGAGAAGAAGAAAAAGAAGAAGGAGGAGAAGGUGAAGAAGGAGAAGGAGAGGAAAAAGAAGAGGAAGAAGAAGAGGAAAAAGAAGAAGCAGCAGGAGUAGCAGCCUCAGGAGUGGCCGUCAUCAUUGCCAGGGUAACAACUGCCUGUCCUAGUCCCAACAUCCGGUCUCUCCUGCUCUUGAUAUGCAACCUAGUUUCAGCUCUGAUUGCAGACCAAAGUCGAGUGAGGAGCCCCACUUGGUUCUGUUUCUGCACUCUCUUUACUGAAAAGCUGGGGGAGUCCCAACCACUUCCACUGGCCUCUGUUGAAGACAGAGAGCAGGCAGGUCAGGGACUUAAGAGGCAGCAGAGGCCAGCCAGUUGCCUGUGGUUAGACAGGACCUUUCCCUGGCCAGUGUGCUGUGGAUGGGUCCGGUGCCAGAUGGGUGAAGGCUUUCCUUUGUGGAAGCCACCGCCUUCUGGAGCCGGUCAGUCUGUCGGGAUGGCAAUUAUGCCCAGCACACAAGCCUGCCUAUAAUCACCCUUGACUAGCCCAGGUCUCAGAAAACCAUGGAGCAGUGCUCUGAUCUGCCAGCAUGGGCUUCGGGAUGGCACAGAAGGAAUUCAGGUUGAGUUGUCUGUGUUUGUGCCUGUAUGUCAGGUUGUUUUUGAAGUUCGUGUGUACUAAGUCCUCUGACUACAGAAAGCACUUGCAAUGGCCUGGCUGCCCCUGUGGUUCCAGUGCUCAGACCCUGUUACUCCAUUUUCACAGUGACCUCUCCCCAACAGGAAACAAUGCGACCACCUAAUGCUCCCCAACAUAAUUUUGUGUGUGUUCACAAGAUGGUUUUUCUCUAGGUACUGAUGACAGGUGAAGUUAAUUAUAUAAUGGGAAUCAAGCACUGUAUCAAAUGUGGAAAUAAAAAUGUAAAAGACAAAACAAAGUUAAGCAUGAAGUGUAAUGUUGUUUUGAUUGAAAAUGCAGAAGCAAUAAAGAGCAAAACUAGAAAUAUUAAGUUAUGGUUAGGAUGAGAGUUGAGGCUGACAACAUUUUGAGACAAUGAAGUAAGUCCUAAGUAAAAAAGGACCUGGGAUGUGCCUCAAUGGCACACCUUGCCUAGCAUUCCAAAGAAAAAGGAGCAGGGACUGGCGUGAGAGGCAGGGGAGUGGAGAGAGUCAGAGUGCAUAUAAAGUUUGAUAUUUAUGUCUAGACAGGAAGAGAAAAGAUAUCUGAAAGCAGCAAAUUGCCAACCUAACAGAGAAAAUGAAUGUAUCCAAGAAAAGAGAACAGCUUGUCAGAAGUGGGAUUCGAACCCACGCCUCCAGGGGAGACUGCGACCUUAACGCAGCGCCUUAGACCGCUCGGCCAUCCUGACAUGGUUUACUUUUGUUGCUAUGAGUCAGUGACAGUCCCUGGAUGCCAGACUCCAAAGCAGAUGACAACGCAGAUGACAACGAAGACAGAGUCCCUGAAAGAACUCCUUUGGGGUCCUUUGGGUGUUUGGAAUGAAGAAGGUUGUGGUCCUGUCGAGCCUGGAACUGAAGAAUCAUCUGUGGUUUAUGAACAAGAGACCGGAGCCAGCAAGGUGAAACCUUAUCUGUGCGGGGACAAUCCUUGAUGGCAUUCCACUGGAGCUGAGAAGCCAGUGGUGAUUAAGAAGUCAGCAGCGUCAAAAUUCUUGAUUAAUUUUUUUCACGGUUUUGGAGAUUUUAAUCUAAUGUCAUGAACUAAAGUGUUUCCAUCCACUAUUUCUCAAGCAUCCA